CAGAAUGCGAGUGGGUGGGGCAGAGAGAGAGAGGGAGACACAGAAUCUGAAGCAGGCUCCAGGCUCUGAGCUGUCAGCACAGAGCCCGAUGCGGGGCUCGAACUCACGAGCUGUGAGAUCAUGACCUGAGGUGAAGUUGGAUGUUCAACCUACUGAGCCACCCAGGCGCCCCGCCAUGGCCGUUUUUAUUAUGGUUGUCUUCCUUCAGGACUCUCCUGAGGUCAACGAAAAUAAUAGUUGGUUGGAAUCUCUAUUUUUAAUCCGGAAUUAUGAUAUCCACCCACACAGAAAGAAGACAUCAUGACUAGUGAAACUGAAUGUGCCCAUCUGUAAAAUGAGGAUGGAGGAUAUGGCUUUAAUGUGGACAUCAAAGCCCGAGGAGAACACUGACAGGCUAGAGUGAGUGCCACCAUGAGCCACUGUUCGCUUUGGUGUUGGCCACCCCACUGCCCUCUGGGACAUAGGAAGACAGCCUCCUGAACUGGCAGCAGUUGAGGAUAUAGAUGGACAAACCACAAUUUCCUUUACUCCUUUGGCUCCUGUCCACAGGCCUCUCUACCUGAGUAAUGGGAGUCCAUUGCAAAGCCCUCUAUACCAUUAUAGUGACAAAAGCCCUACAGAGUCUUGGAAAAUACUGCUUUUGUCCUGUAGUGAAGAUUACAUUUUGCAGAAAGUGCUCUGGGUAAUGGUGGUUCGGAGAUGUUGGCUCUUCUUCUUAAGCUAGUUGCCGUUAUUUUCCAAGUUUCCAUUUAGCACAGAUGUUCUAUAAAGAAUUAUAAGAGUCCCUGGAGUUCUUGCCAAGAAGAUGCUGUUGAGGUCUACAUUAUCUACUACUCAUUGAUUGCUGAAAAUAUAAUCAUCAACUCAAUCAGUAAAUUUCAUUAAAAACCAAACAGAUGAAACAAUUUGACUAACUCUUCUUUGAGCUACAGAAGAAAAAGAACAUCUAUUAGAAAAAUAAACAGCAAUCAUGAAUAAAGUAUCUUGU